CGUUUUUUUUGUCUCAUUUUUUUUUAUAAAAUUGCGUCAAAAAGAUCGUGUGAAAAAAUAGUGUUUGUAAACAUUUUGCCCCGCCGCAUUUUGUGCCAGUCCAAGGUCAGGAGCCUCUGACUCUUGUUAGUCUUGUAUGCUUUUUUUUUUUUUUUUUUUUUUUUUUUUAUCUUUGUUCAUUUAUAUGUUUUGGAGUUUAGAUUACGUCCAUUUUCAAUGAACCAGUACACUUUUUAUUUAGGGCCAGUUGAAGCCCGCAUCCUGUUGCGAAAUUUCUCGAGUUGACCCAUUGGUGGGCUUCGGCUAUUUUCUCUCUUUGGUCAGGUUGUUGAAUCUUUUCCCCAAUGUCCCCAUUUCCAUUCUCAAUUUUUUGUUGGCCGUAUGCAGUAAGUAAGUUUAUUCCGAAAACCUUUGUGGAUACAAUGGUAUUACAGAAAACAAUAACAACAAAGUAACCCUCUGUCACAGCGAUGGUGAAACAAGAGGUUUUCAUAGAAACAUUUAAACAUGUACCGGAUUGCCUAAAAAUGAUUAAUAGCAAAGCAAUAAUUUAAAGAAAUAAUGUUCCCUUUUGUUUUUAAAGUAGAAUAACUUGGUUUCAUGUUUAAAACACUGUUAAUUGUUAGGUAUUUCUUCCAGAAUCGUCUGCGUUCUUUAUUGUUUGGUAGUCAAAUCUUG
rnacentral:lncRNA from 1 species